CCGCCUGCUGGCUGCUCCGCGCGAGCACCACCGCGCAUUCCCCUCCGCCCCCCGGUCUCGGCAGUCAGGUGCCGCCUCCGCCGCACUGCCGCCGCCUGCCCCUGCCUCCGCUCCGCCGCGCCACCAAAGCAGAGGACCGCCGGCUCCGACUCCUCGCGCAGCUACUCCGCGCACCGCUGCUCCUGCUUGGCCUGCAAGCCUCGCCGAAUCGGUAAUUUCUUGGACUGAAAGACUGCAUAGUUUCUGAAUUUAUGCAUUGAAGCUAACUUAAAUCGAAAUAGAGAUGCGUAUGCAUUGAAUUGAACUCGAGUCGAUGCGUCAUCACUUGUCAAUUCCAUUUCAUGCUAUAGAAAUAGAAGAUGAAGAGGGCUUUUUCAUCGGUGCCCGCAGUGGGAGUGUCUACACCCUAUAGUUUGAGUUCAGGGGAAUCAGGGAGUGUACUUGCAAGUAUUGACGAAUGACGAUGAUGAUGUUUAAUAUCGUUUUCAGUCCUAUAGGUCCCACAAAGGGGUGUUUACCUCCUGCUGUAGUGGUGUUGCUACUUCUUCUACCUUGAUCAGGUCAUGGGAGACACAUAAGAAGCAAACCAUUAAUUUGGAGGAGAGCACGAAGUUCUUUGAGGAGCUUAAUAUUCACAGGGAUGCUCCCGGCAAGCUCGUUGUGCGAGAGCUCAAGGGCCACCAAGGUCCUCAAAGCCGAGAAGUCAAGAGACUCAAGUGUCCCUCUCAGCC